rnacentral:misc_RNA from 1 species
UUAAGUUCAGCGGGUAGUCCUACCUGAUUUGAGGUCAGAUGAAGUGAAAGGUUUGUCCUAAGACGGUUGGAAGCAGCCCCUCCAACGAGUCGGCGAAACGGCGCUACAGUCACGAAGCGUUUCUUAUCACACCGUUGUUAAUACCAAACUCGCGCGGCGGACCAGCUGAUGCAUUUCAAGACGAGCCGGAGGGAUCGAAA